GGGCACGGCCCAUCAGGUAGUUGGCGGGUUAAAGGCCCGCCAAGCCGAAGACGGGUAGGGGCGGUGAGAGCCGCGAGCCCCGAGAUCGGCACUGAGACAAGGGCCGAGGCCCUACGGGGUGCAGCAGGCGCGAAUACUCCGCAAUGCGGGCAACCGCGACGGGGCUACCCCGAGUGCCGGGCGAAGAGCCCGGCUUUUGCCCGGUCUAAAAAGCCGGGAGAAUAAGCGGGGGGCAAGUCUGGUGUCAGCCGCCGCGGUAAUACCAGCUCCGCGAGUGGUCGGGGUGUUUACUGGGCUUAAAGCGCCCGUAGCCGGCCCGGCAAGUCGCUCCUGAAAUCCCAGGGCUCAACCCUGGGGCGGGGGGCGAUACUGCCGGGCUAGGGGGCGGAAGAGGCCGCCGGUACUCCGGGGGUAGGGGCGAAAUCCGUUAAUCCCCGGAGGACCACCAGUGGCGAAAGCGGGCGGCCAGAACGCGCCCGACGGUGAGGGGCGAAAGCCGGGGGAGCAAACCGGGCUCAGGUCGGCGUUGCGCAGACAAUCUGAUCAUCCAGUCCCACCACGCGCGCCAACCCCCUCAUCUUUACCAAGCCGACCUGGCCCGGGCUCAAAGGGGAUUAGAUACCCNUGUAGUCC
rnacentral:rRNA from 1 species